GUGCACUGUCUUUGAACCUGUGUAGCCCUCUCAAUGGCUUCACAGGCCAAGCUACAGUUGUAAAAGCAAAGACCAGGGCCCCGUUUCCCAAAGGCAUCU
rnacentral:snoRNA from 1 species